CUAUUUCUAGAGAUAGAAAGUUACUUCGGUACAUCGGUGACAGGUGGUGCAUGUUGUCAUCAGCUCGUGUCGUGAGAUGUUGGGUUAAGUCCCGCAACGAGCGCAACCCCUAUUGUUAGUUGCCAUCAUUCAGUUGGGCACUCUAGCGAGACUGCCGGUAAUAAACCGGAGGAAGGUGGGGAUGACGUCAAAUCAUCAUGCCCCUUAUGACCUGGGCUACACACGUGCUACAAUGGUUGGUACAACGAGUUGCGAGUCGGUGACGGCGAGCUAAUCUCUUAAAGCCAAUCUCAGUUCGGAUUGUAGGCUGCAACUCGCCUACAUGAAGUCGGAAUCGCUAGUAAUCGCGGAUCAGCACGCCGCGGUGAAUACGUUCCCGGGCCUU
rnacentral:rRNA from 1 species